rnacentral:tRNA from 5 species
GCGCGAGUGGUGAAAUUGGCAGACACGCAGGAUUUAGGUUCCUGUGCCUUCGGGCGUGGGGGUUCAAAUCCCCCCUUGCGCA